AUGAGCGGUCCAAAACGUGACUCAUGUGGAAAUUUCUCUUCCGCCGUUGGAUCUGCGAUUUGCGGCUCGGAUUGAGCUAUAGUCCAAACAGAACGACCUCCCCUGCUCCCCCUCCGGUCGCCGGCGGCGGCGGAGGCUCCCGCCGCCCUUGUUCCGGGUGGAGAACCCUUUCGGCAUCAAGCUGCUCCAGUUCUUUAUCCGCUUAUUCGAAGGAAGCCAGCAGGAGGUGGCGGCGGGAGGAGCGAGGACACGGGCGGGGGAGGCUACGCAGGACGGACUCCCCACAAGUCGCCACCGCCGCUGUCUCGCGUUCGCAGCAGGACUCGUGGGGGUGACACUCGCGGCCCUCGGCCGCCGCACCCGAGAACGACGGUGACGAACUGAUGAGCCCCAGCCCGCCUCCUCCCCUCUUCCAUUAACACGGUGCAGGGACGAUUUUUAUUCAUCUCAGAGCUGCCUCUUCUGAACAUUCUUGGGAUGCAGAGCUUCCAUGUUUUAGACCGGAAGCGUCGACAACUCAAUGAAAUCUGAGAUCUGAAUUCAGGACAAAGGUUGAAGUGAACUCAACUGAGGUUCAACGAUGCACUGAACUGACUGAACUGAGCAAUGUGUGAUCAUUGUGUGCACUUCUGAAUGGUGACAUGUCUAUGAGUAUCUUGAUAUGGGAAGAAAAAGCAUGCUCUGAUCAUUCAGUGUAAGCAUUAGUCGACUGCUACUAGUUCAAGCAAACCAAUGUGAGAAUAACAAGUAUUUCUGCAGGACUACCAAUGUCAAUUCCCCUCCAAGCCUAAAAAGCAGGCCAGCCAGAUGCCCUGGACGGCUGAAACUGAAUCCUUGGAGAUUACCACUGGGUCCCUUUGGAAGCUAAUGACAAUAUGACAUUAAUUUGGUGGCUCCAAGUUGAGAAGAGGAGAGUUCACAAGAGCAAGAGGAGGAGGUAUUGGGACUUGUUCUUUAACACUCCAUGUCUAGCAGGACACUAGAAAAUAGCGCGCCGUGUGACCUGUUGCCGAUGCAGUAUGUUAUUUUUA